CCUACGGGUGGCAGCAGUGAGGAAUAUUGGUCAAUGGGCGCAAGCCUGAACCAGCCAAGUCGCGUGAGGGAUGACGGUCCUAUGGAUUGUAAACCUCUUUUGUCGGGGAGCAAGGCCCGCCACGUGUGGCGGGCCGGAGAGUCCCCGCAGACAAAGCAUCGGCUAACUCCGUGCCAGCAGCCGGGGUAAUACGGAGGAGGCGAGCGUUCUCCGGAUUUAUUGGGUUUAAAGGGUGGGUAGGCGGAAGGUUAAGUCAGCGGUAAAAUGUCGGUGCUCAACACCGGCCUGCCGUUGAAACUGGUAUGCUUGAGUGAGCGAGAAGUAGGUGGAAUGCGUGGUGUAGCGGUGAAAUGCAUAGAUAUCACGCAGAACUCCGAUUGCGAAGGCAGCACACCGGAGCGAAACUGACGCUGAGGCACGAAAGCGUGGGGAUCGAACAGGAUUAGAUACCCGAGUAGUC
rnacentral:rRNA from 1 species